rnacentral:rRNA from 1 species
CCUACGGGCGGCAGCAGUGGGGAAUAUUGGGCAAUGGAGGCAACUCUGACCCAGCAAUGCCGCGUGAAUGAAGAAGGUCUUCGGAUUGUAAAGCUCUUUAAUCAGGGACGAAGAAUAUGACGGUACCUGAGCAAUACGCGACGCCAAACUAUGUGCCAGCAGCCGCGGUAAUACAUGGGUGGCAAGCGUUGUCCGGAAGGACUGGGCGUAAAGGGAGCGUAGGCGGUCUGUUAAGUUGGAAGUGAAAUCCCGGGGCUCAACCCCGGAACUGCUUUCAAGACUGACGGACUUGAGUGUAGGAGGGGUAGGCGGAAUUCGUGGUGUAGCGGUGGAAUGCGUAGAUAUUAGGAGGAACACCAGUGGCGAAGGCGGCUUACUGGACUAUAACUGACGCUGAGGCUCGAAAGCGUGGGUAGCAAACAGGAUUAGAUACCCCGGUAGUC